GAAUAGCAUUGAAUCUAGAAACUGCUUUGGGCAGUAGGGCCAUUUUAAUAAUAUUGAUUCCUCCUAUGCAUAUGGCUCAACAAUUUUAAUCAGGAUAUGAUCUCAUGAUGUGUCUUAUCUUAAAAACAAAAAGUUGUAUCAUUCUAGUAAUAGGCAAAGAAACGAAGACUGUUUGAGUAGUAAUGAGUAGCCAGAGUGCCCAGAGUUUCAUAUCUAAAUAUCUUUUUUUAUAGAAAUAGGUAAUUUCAGGACAAGUAAUGUAUAACCCUUAAAAUCUCUUAUAAAAGAAGACAAAACACUACCUUACACUAUUAGGAUAUAUUAUAUAGACUCAGGAGACAAUAUGAAGAAGUUCUUAUUGGCCAAAUUUGAGAUUAUUUUAGCAUCAGUGAGAAUCUUAACAGUGAUGGAUUAAAUAUGUUUAAAACUAUGAAUUUAAAUGGAUACUAAAAUAAAAUCCCCUUUUGCCUUCUUUGAAGGAGAGUUCAGGAAAAAAAUCAUUAUAUUGAAAGUAGAGAUAAAUAAUUGAGCAUUUUUCCUGUCUUUUCUAUAAGGUCUGUUUUUCAAGUUACAUGAAUAGUUGAUAAGAUGAUGUUUUCCAUUAAAUAUAUUCUAGGGAAUAAGUGAAUGUCAUCUCAAAAUGCCAAUGAAAUAAGAAAUCUAAUGAAUGAUCAGCAAUGAUGGCCAAAUUCAUGAAAAGAGAGAAAGUUAACACACGGCAUCUGAUAGAUGUACAUGACAUCACCAAUAAAGUAUUCUUGCCAAAAAUAAUGGAACCCGAAUUUUAUCAACCUUAGAGCUCCAAUUACAAAUAAGCAGGAAAUAUAUAGACAGUAGAGAGUAGAGCAUCAUGUUAACCUACUCCAUAGAAAAGCAAUUGCAAACAAAUCCUGACUGUGAGAAACACUAUCAGACAAAGUUUCUGGUUCUUUCAAGAAAUGAACUGCAAGAAAAAAAAAGGGAGUUUUAAAGACAGCCUAGAGAGGCUGCUUGUACCCUUCACCCAGUUUUUUCCAUUGGUUACACUUGAUGUAUGCAUUUGUGAGUUAUAUUCUUUUCCUUCUCCCUGAAGAACUUUUAACAUUUCUCACAAGUCAUAUUUUCUAGUGAUGAAUUCCCUCAGUUUUUGUCUAAGAAGGUCUUUAUUUAUUCUACAUGUUCAAAGGAUAGUUUUGCAGAACAUAGAGAACGGUCUGUAGUUCAGGGCCUUCUUCUCCACAGAAGCAAUCUUGACUGUCGAUCUCCAAAUUGGCCUGUCUCCCCAGAGUUUUAUAUUGAUGAUAAAACUGGCAGCUUCGGUUAUUGAGCAGAACUUAACAACAUUAAGAACCAGGAAUGAAAGUCUUUGAACUGAGCUGAUAUGCCUUCUUCUUUUACAUGGCUCAGAAUGAAUGCAGUCUACAGUCUUUCCUCCUCAUCCUCACAUCCACAGACUCUGCUUUUGCUCAGUGGUGUGGAAACAGCACAGAGCUGGAGAUCAGAACAACAGAUUUUGAAUAACUUCUCCAUCACUCUCUGGCCUACUAGAAAAUAUGGAGUGGUUCCUGCCCUAGGAGACAGGGCCCCAGGAGAAUGAUCUUCCGGGACUGGUGCACAUGUGGCCAUCUGGUGGUCAGCCCAAGAUGAGAACCCACCCUGCAAAGCAAACUCAGUCUACAGCAUUUUGAUUCUCAGAAUUGGAAGAGGAAAACAGAUUUCUUUGCCUUUGCCUUCAACGCCACUGGACGUGCCACUAAAUGAAGUCAAAUGAGGUCUCUUUGAGACAUCCAGGUAGCUGAGUUGCGAGACAGUUUCCCCUUGCUUCUAGCAUGUUACUAUUCUAUAGUAUCCUCAGCUUUGUCAGGGUACUGGAGUUAAGCCCAUCUCACUUGCAAUUUUUUGACUUGGCUAUUCUCUAUUUGCCAGGUCCCUUUUAUUUUUAUUUUAAGUGUCCAACCCUAGGGUGGACAAUUGAAAAGGCCUUGCCAGAUCCCAAAUAACACUGUUAUUAGAGAUAUAGGCUUAGUAUUGAAUCAAGUCAAGCCAAUUACAUUACACAAAGAACACCAAGGAAAUUACCAGGAGCAGAAAAUAAAACACAGUAGAUGAGUGCACGAAAUGUA
rnacentral:lncRNA from 1 species